rnacentral:lncRNA from 1 species
GUUUCCAAUUAAAGCUUUACAAGAUCAAAGGAUGAUGUCAUAUCCUGUGUGCCAUGCUCUUGGCUAAAAUGGUGGCUCUAUGAAUGCUUGAGUGUAUUUUAUAUUUUUUGAAAGUGGUCAUUUUAACCAGAUUAGAUUCAAUCAGUGUCUUUGUUGAAGAGCUAUAAUACAAAAUGUGUUGGCCUCUCAUAUUUUUGUUGAAC